rnacentral:rRNA from 1 species
AUGGAUUCCACUAUGAAGGUUCUAGCACCUCCACUAUCUUGGAAAGAGAGGUAUUAUAUUAGGGUUCUGUCUAUGUCACAUCUAGAUCUCUACUCUAAUGUCUUAGUUGAUAGUCUCCGUUCCGGAUUUAUUUUCGUCCGGUUUUUUUCGUCGGUUUUUUUCGUCCCCUUCUCACACCCCGAAUUGCCCGACCCGCUAAAAAAAAUCCCCUCGUCCGAUCCCCAACCUCCCCCCCGAUCCCGUCGCCGCUGCCUCCUACCGGUGCGCCACCACUCCCGCCUCCUUCCGGCGCGCCGUCAUCCCCGCCUCCUUUCGGCGCUGUCAUCCCCACCUCCUACCGGCGCGCCACCGGACCCUCCUUCUUCCCUGGAGCGCCGCCACCCCGCUGCCGCCGCCAUCUUCCCGAGCGCGCCGCUGCCGCCGUCUUCCCCGGAGCGCCACCGCCCCGCCACCCCCGCCCACGGGACCAGUGGUCCCAUCGCCGGUCUCCCCCCACCCAGAUCUGCCGGAGGCGCACCGGAUCCUGCCUCACGGCCGGUUCCCGCGACUCAGCCGUCGCCCCAACCGCUGCAGCAGCCGAGCACCUCCACUAGGUGCCCCGGCGGUUCGGACCCCCACCUGGCCCCUCCCUCGAACCCAGCGAGCCUCCGCCCCGGCCUACUUCCCGCGCGAGGUCGCCUCCGCCUCCGCCUGGAUGGAUGGAUUCAGGAAGGUAUCCUUCCUCCCUGGGUGGAGCGAGCUGCAGAUCUCAUCCGGCCCUCGGGAACCGGCCAUCUCCGCCUCCUCCUCGCCGCCGCCGCUGGGGAUCACGUCUUCACCAAACGCGAGCUCCGCCCCAUCCGACCGACCGCAAAGGGAGAUAGGACAUGGCGGAAACAAAACUGCACGGCGAUGUGCAUUUCUGCAACACAUCAGGUCUAG